rnacentral:ncRNA from 1 species
AAAGUCCUACUCGGAAGCGAAGGCCCUAGUUCCACUAAGGCGGUUUAUGUAGCUUAAGCGGGGCUUU